GCAUUGCUGAAGAGUCCCACAAUAGGACGAAACGGCCGUCCGGUGC
rnacentral:hammerhead_ribozyme from 1 species